rnacentral:misc_RNA from 1 species
GAUGAAGAACGUAGCGAAAUGCGAUAAGUAAUGUGAAUUGCAGAAUUCAGUGAAUCAUCGAAUUUUUGAACGCACAUUGCGCCCUCUGGUAUUCCGGGGGGCAUGCCUGUUCGAGCGUCAUUAUAACCACUCAAGCUCUCGCUUGGUAUUGGGGUUCGCGGUUCCGCGGCCCCUAAAAUCAGUGGCGGUGCCUGUCGGCUCUACGCGUAGUAAUACUCCUCGCGAUUGAGUCCGGUAGGUCUACUUGCCAGCAACCCCCAAUUUUUACAGGUUGACCUCGGAUCAGGUAGGGAUACCCGCUGAACUUAAGCAUAUCAAUAAGCGGAGGA